rnacentral:rRNA from 1 species
AGGAGCCUAUCAUAUACGCGAGUCGCUCGGUCUUGUUUAGGCCUGGGAGGCGCAAUGAAAGUAAAGCUACGAGGCUGUGAGAAUUCGUUCAAUCAGUCGCAGUAGUGGCCCGCCUCCUUCCUUUUUCGGGGAUAUGGCGGAGCUCGAGCGUAUACGAUGGUACCCGAAAGAUGGUGAUCUAUGCCUGGGCAAGACGAAGCCAGAGGAAACUCUGGUGGAGGUCUGUAGCGAUUCUGACGUGCAAAUCGAUCGUCAGACCUGGGUAUAGGGGCGAAAGACUAAUCGAACCAUCUAGUAGCUGGUUCCCUCCGAAGUUUCCCUCAGGAUAGCAGGCGCUUGAUUAAUCAGUCUCAUCCGGUAAAGCUAAUGAUUAGAGGUCUUGGGGCCGAAACGGCCUCAACCUAUUCUCAAACUUUAAAUGGGUGAGAUGCAUGACUUGCUUAAUUGAAGCCAUGCAAUUGGAUGUGAGUGCCUAGUG